AGAAAAUUGCAAAAUUAAUCUACCAUUCCCAACAAUGAUGCGGUAACAACAAACACAAACUAGCACACCGUGAUUAUAAAAACAGCAAAAUCCCCUAACCGAUGGACUUUCCAUGUCAAACGAGUCGAGUGCGACGAGGAUCAGGCAAUCACAGUCGAUGCAAAGACCACUGGCGCCAUCUGUUGGCCGGUGCUGCAAGCGCACACUACGCGCACGCACACGCAGCGCACCACUUGACACACCGAGCUCGAAUCGUACACACGUACCAAGCGUAACAUCUAAUCGAACCCUCCACAUCAGUGUGUACGGCGCUUCUGGGGGGAGUUUUGAAGUAGCAGGUGGUGAUAGGAUCAAUGUGAUAGACAGCGGCAGGCUCGAGAGCUGGACCUUGAGCGUUCUUACACCAACACCCCAUCCCCCCAAAUCGCACCCCUUCUGCCAGCGGUUCUCGCACAUAGGCGUGAAAUCUUCGCGGGGCUCUAGUAAAAGUGACCCAAAUAAAAUCUAUCAAACGUGCUGCGCGCAACCAAGCGUCGUGUGUGUACCGACCACCACACGAAUACCAACACGUCUCGCGUUGCACGAUCGGUGCCGCCGGUGUGUUCUAUCGCAAAUAAAUAUACUUGCAGCACUACUUGAAACUGCUCGAACCAACCAACAUUCCUACUGUUGACUGGCCGCCUACCGGGGGGGGACGGACACAGGGCGAUGAAGCGCCAGUCGCGAAGACAACCGUGCGAGCAUCCCAGCACAAAAACAAUCGCUUUUGCUUCUCUCAAUCAUCGGUCAAUCACGUAUAUCAACCAGGUAAACGGUUUCUGAUGAAUGGCAAAUAAAACGAAAAGCGAAAGA